AACUAUCCGAGUAUGCCCAUUUUAUGAAAUAUCAUGCGGUGCGACCAUCAAGAAAUUACAAUUUUGGAGCUUUUAUUUUGAAUUCCACCGAAAGACAGGAAUUUGCAUCAACAUCCGUUUGCAAAGGACCCUUGAAAGCAACAAGCAGAUGCCGCUACCAAGUAAAGUAAAGACUGCUCGCUACAGGGAACGCGUCAAUUCCGACCCUGCAGCAAGAGCAGAGUACCUUGCCAGGAGAAAAGAAAGCUACCAGAGACGAAAACAGCAGGGAAAGAUUCACUAUGUUAAGUCAAGUGAGCUGCCUGGUAGAGAGAAAAAGAAGCAGAGAGAGAAAUGGAGGGCUGCAUCCGGUUCCUAUAGGGAUAGGAAAAAGAUGGCGCAUGCUGUAUUAGACCUCACACCGCCAUCUAUGGACAACAUCCCGCCAGUUCUGCUUGAUGUAGCUAUAUAUUCUCUUAAGCGGUUUGUGAUUUUUUU